rnacentral:tRNA from 1 species
GCGAUGAUAGCUCAGUUGGAUAGAGCAACUGCCUUCUAAGCAGUAGGUCGUUGGUUCGAGACCAACUCGUCGUA